CUGUGAUUUAAUAAGCAGACACUUAAGGCCCUGAUGCAGGGCCCAGCCCAUGCGGGACAGCCCUCUCCGCUAAUUGUCCAUUGGCUGCCGCCCGCCGUCCUGCCGGCGUCUCUGGGCUCAUUAGGAAAGGGAAGAGGGGGGUCUGGGAAGAGCCUCCUGCAGCUCCAGCGGGCUUCCGAGAUUUUUAUCACACUGGACAGCACAGUUACAUUCAUUCUGCUAAAGGAGGAUCAAAACAAGAGGUCAGCAAACUAUGGCCCAUGGAUCCAGUGCGGCCCACCACCUACUUUCACAGAGUGCAGAGGAAGCCUUGAAAAUGGAACAUUUUCAACAUAAUGCCUGCAUCUCCACUCCUCCUGGGCUUUGGAAGGAGUCUGAGCGGUGAGGGAUUCUGAAGCUUAAGAUGUAGAAGGCAGCCAGGUCUGGGACCCAACCUGACUGAAGUUUACUGAAUACGGGCCUC